AGGAGGCAAGCGUUAUCCGGAAUGACUGGGCGUAAAGGGUGCGUAGGUGGUUUGGCAAGUUGGUAGCGUAAUUCCGGGGCUCAACCUCGGCGCUACUACCAAAACUGCUGGACUUGAGUGCAGGAGGGGUGAAUGGAAUUCCUAGUGUAGCGGUGGAAUGCGUAGAUAUUAGGAAGAACACCAGCGGCGAAGGCGAUUCACUGGACUGUAACUGACGCUGAGGUUCGAAAGCGUGGGUAGCAAA
rnacentral:rRNA from 1 species